AAUUAAAAUGCCGAGAAAAAUGUUCGGAAUGCUGAUUCACUAGUAAUUCACGUAAGCACAGGUGUCUUUUAUGGUCACAGAAGGUCAGUUAUAUAAAAUAAUUUCUAAUAAUAGUAACUUUAGACAGGAUGAUUGACAUGUUUUGUAUAUAUGUAUUAAUCAUGGUGAAAUUAGCUCGUAAUGAGGAGCUGGCCAAAUAGUAUAUAAGGCCAGUGAUUUAGCGUUACAAAGGAGGUUUUCGAUCGGACGUUGAGCCGGUGACAUGGCUCUUCGGAGCAGUCACGAGAGCGGUCCGAGGCACGAGAGAUGUUGUAUGUUGAAAUUGUUAUGGCUAAUCUUUGUUGAAGAAAUAAAUAGAAAACAUAUGCAAUAAAAUUAUAGAAACUAUAGACUGGUUCUUGACUUUAAUUUAUACGGCGGCUACGCUACACAUGUGUUGACACUUUAAGUAGCUUUCUGAAGCUGGAAUGUGGAUGUAAGACGAUAUUCGAGAAAGUGAUAAAUGUAAAGGAAGAAGAGCUGCCGUCAGGAAAAUAGCCCUAGCAGCUGGAAAAAUCUCCAGCAGGCUGUUGUACAGAAGGAACACCAGUAACUGAAAGCCAAAUACCAGCCAACAUUACUGUCCUACAAUCCAGAGCCUGUCCUUGCAUGAAAAGAGCGAAACAGGCGUAGACAAAUGGUUCCCAGCUGAGGACAUCGGUAGUAGCAGCACAGACUCUGUCAUCGUCGGCUAGCCGGAAACGAGCGGAAAUCGAGUAGAAAACGACAUCAGUUAUAUCUCAAUACCCUCAAGAAUGUUUGACACGUGGAGAAUAUGACAUCUGGCAGCUGUUGUAGAAUAAGUUGAACGACUGAUGUUCUUAUAAUUCGAGAGAGAGAAUAUGUUCAUAUCGUUAAACUUCCGAUAAUUCCUUGUUUGAAACAACUUUACAAUAAUGCAUACUGUAUUAGGUCGAUUGCGCGCAUCAUUUGAAACAAGUAGAGCUAAUACAAAGCAUAAUUGAGCCAAUAUGAGAAAAGCAGGGCCAAUACGAGAAAACAGGGCCAAUACAGAAUUCAAGCAUUCUGAUUGGUUCAAAAGAGAAGGCCAAUACGGAGAAGUCACUACCGUUAGACUUUUAAAUGACGCCAUUUUGUUUGACAUAAAAAUGAUAAAUUUCAAUAGUUUUCACAUAUUGGACAAAACUACAGUUAUUUAACAUGUUCAUUUAAUAUUACCAAGCUAGACUGAGCGGACAUACGAUGUCGAUGUAUGUUUUCCGUAGAUUAUAACCAUACUUUUGAUUCACAUGCUGGGAAGUGGAUGAAUAAUACUGGUUGCGAACUUGGGUGUCAGUUGUAAACUGCAAAAACUUUAGGAUAAGAAUAAAACGAGGCAUGGGGGGGAGAAUAAUAUGUGAUUGGUUGGUUGUUUUAUCUUGAUCAAAACAUAUAUGUACAAUAUUGUGUCUAGUUGCCUGCAACCUACAAAGAAAUGACAUUUAAAGUAGUUUCUAUCACAGCUCAAAUAGUAAGAUAUUAGAUCUAGAGAAAAUAAAAUAAAUACGGUAAGUUCCAGUUACUGCUGAUUAUGUCCUGGCAUAUAUCUCUCUAACCUACUUACA